UACGUAGUGGCGAGCGUUGUCCGGAUUUACUGGGCGUAAAGGGAGCGUAGGCGGACUUUUAAGUGAGAUGUGAAAUACCCGGGUUCAACUUGGGUGCUGCAUUUCAAACUGGAAGUCUAGAGUGCAGGAGAGGAGAAUGGAAUUCCUAGUGUAGCGGUGAAAUGCGUAGAGAUUAGGAAGAACACCAGUGGCGAAGGCGAUUCUCUGGACUGUAACUGACGCUGAGGCUCGAAAGCGUGGGGAGCAAACAGGAUUAGAUACCCUGGUA
rnacentral:rRNA from 1 species